rnacentral:rRNA from 1 species
AGUGAACGCUGGCGGUAGGCCUAACACAUGCAAGUCGAACGGCAGCACAGUAAGAGCUUGCUCUUACGGGUGGCGAGUGGCGGACGGGUGAGGAAUACAUCGGAAUCUACUUUUUCGUGGGGGAUAACGUAGGGAAACUUACGCUAAUACCGCAUACGACCUACGGGUGAAAGCAGGGGAUCUUCGGACCUUGCGCGAUUGAAUGAGCCGAUGUCGGAUUAGCUAGUUGGCGGGGUAAAGGCCCACCAAGGCGACGAUCCGUAGCUGGUCUGAGAGGAUGAUCAGGCACACUGGAACUGAGACACGGUCCAGACUCCUACGGGAAGCAGCAGUGGGGAAUAUUGGACAAUGGGCGCAAGCCUGAUCCAGCCAUACCGCGUGGGUGAAGAAGGCCUUCGGGUUGUAAAGCCCUUUUGUUGAGAAAGAAAAGCAGCAGGUUAAUACCCCGCUGUUCUGACGGUACCCAAAGAAUAAGCACCGGGUAACUUCGUG